UUUUUAUUUGGCUUCAUGUCAACUUAUUUGCAUUAUGUGAAUUUGUUGAUUUUUAUUUAUUUAUUUAUUUAGUACGUUGGUCAGUUGAUUUCUGUUUCUUGUUGGCUAUAGUGGAUGUUACUAUCAUUCUCUGUAAGUUGCUAUGAUUUGGUCAGCAAAUGGGAUUAGUGGGUUGGUUUUGAAGAGUCCCGUGAAUCAGAUGUGGCACGAUCUUCAGGCUUUAAUGGGAGACAUUAUCCCACGAACAGGGUUUGGCAGCAGCUAUAAAGGAAGGUGGAAUUUUCAACUCCGAACAGAACAAUCUGAGGUAUUAUGAAGGGGGGAUUUCAUCAGUAUACAUGUGGGAAGAUAAUGAAGACUUUGUGGCUUGCUACCUAAUAACGAAAGAUUGCUCAAAGUCAGGGCAUGGCUGAAGAAGUUAUUUGCAAGAAGGUGCAUGGGAUGCUAUUCAUGUUAUUGAAUACAUAUGGACAAAACUAGACAAAACUCGAGUUCAACUUCCGAAUUUGAAGUGUUGUGGCAUAUUUCUGCAUAUGGUAUUGUUCAAAAGUUAAGAGGACUUUUAAUCAUCACAUGUGGCAUAUUUCUGCAUAUGGUAUUGUCAGAUUUCUUAACUCAGCUCCUUGUUGAAUCUCGCAAAUUUCUGUUACUAAGAAUGCUAUACUCAGAAAGUUGUGUUGGUUUUUUUUUUUUUUUUUUCUGGUUGUAUUUAUUAAAUAGGUAUGAGAUGAGUUGCACUAGUAGGAGCCUCACCUACUUUGAAUUGGUUGUGUAUGGAUGCUAUCGAAUUUGGUUGCAAUUAAAAGUAUACUAAAGUGGAAAUAAGCAAAAGUACCUGGCAAUCAUAUUCAAGGACUUGGCUUCUAGUUGCAACUAUGCCACUUUCAAGUCAGAUUGGAAAGGAAUAUGGUUCCAGUUUGAGGCUUACUUCUUCAUUACAAUAAUUAGGGAACACCAUUAGCUUAAUUGUACAUACAAACAUGGGUUUUUUUUUUCUUCUUAAAUCUUAUUUUCAUAAAGGUUGUAAACUGAUUUCAUGAAUCCCUUUAUAUGC